UUUAGGCCUAACACAUGCAAGUCGAGCGGAUGAAGGUAGCUUGCUACUGGAUUCAGCGGCGGACGGGUGAGUAAUGCUUAGGAAUCUGCCUAUUAGUGGGGGACAACGUUCCGAAAGGAGCGCUAAUACCGCAUACGUCCUACGGGAGAAAGCAGGGGACCUUUGGGCCUUGCGCUAAUAGAUGAGCCUAAGUCGGAUUAGCUAGUUGGUAGGGUAAAGGCCUACCAAGGCGACGAUCUGUAGCGGGUCUGAGAGGAUGAUCCGCCACACUGGGACUGAGACACGGCCCAGACUCCUACGGGAGGCAGCAGUGGGGAAUAUUGGACAAUGGGGGGAACCCUGAUCCAGCCAUGCCGCGUGUGUGAAGAAGGCCUUUUGGUUGUAAAGCACUUUAAGCGAGGAGGAGGCUACCUAGAUUAAUACUUUAGGAUAGUGGACGUACUCGCAGAU
rnacentral:rRNA from 1 species